rnacentral:rRNA from 1 species
UACAGAGGUCUCAAGCGUUGUUCGGAAUCACUGGGCGUAAAGGGUGCGUAGGCUGCGGAGUAAGUCGGAUGUGAAAUUUGGGGGCUCCAACCCCCAACUUGCAUCUGAUACUGCUUCGCUAGAGACCUGGAGAGGAGCUUGGAAUUCUCGGUGUAGCAGUGAAAUGACGUAGAUUUCGAGAAGAACGCUCGCAGCGAAAGCGAAGCUCUGGACAGCGUCU